AGAGUUUGAUCAUGGCUCAGAUUGAACGCUGGCGGCAGGCCUAACACAUGCAAGUCGAACGGUAACAGGAAGCUGCUUGCUGCUUCGCUGACGAGUGGCGGACGGGUGAGUAAUGUCUGGGAAGCUGCCUGAUGGAGGGGGAUAACUACUGGAAACGGUAGCUAAUACCGCAUAAUGUCGCAAGACCAAAGAGGGGGACCUUCGGGCCUCUUGCCAUCGGAUGUGCCCAGAUGGGAUUAGCUUGUUGGUGGGGUAACGGCUCACCAAGGCGACGAUCCCUAGCUGGUCUGAGAGGAUGACCAGCCACACUGGAACUGAGACACGGUCCAGACUCCUACGGGAGGCAGCAGUGGGGAAUAUUGCACAAUGGGCGCAAGCCUGAUGCAGCCAUGCCGCGUGUAUGAAGAAGGCCUUCGGGUUGUAAAGUACUUUCAGCGGGGAGGAAGGGAGUAAAGUUAAUACCUUUGCUCAUUGACGUUACCCGCAGAAGAAGCACCGGCUAACUCCGUGCCAGCAGCCGCGGUAAUACGGAGGGUGCAAGCGUUAAUCGGAAUUACUGGGCGUAAAGCGCACGCAGGCGGUUUGUUAAGUCAGAUGUGAAAUCCCCGGGCUCAACCUGGGAACUGCAUCUGAUACUGGCAAGCUUGAGUCUCGUAGAGGGGGGUAGAAUUCCAGGUGUAGCGGUGAAAUGCGUAGAGAUCUGGAGGAAUACCGGUGGCGAAGGCGGCCCCCUGGACGAAGACUGACGCUCAGGUGCGAAAGCGUGGGGAGCAAACAGGAUUAGAUACCCUGGUAGUCCACGCCGUAAACGAUGUCGACUUGGAGGUUGUGCCCUUGAGGCGUGGCUUCCGGAGCUAACGCGUUAAGUCGACCGCCUGGGGAGUACGGCCGCAAGGUUAAAACUCAAAUGAAUUGAUGGGGGCCCGCACAAGCGGUGGAGCAUGUGGUUUAAUUCGAUGCAACGCGAAGAACCUUACCUGGUCUUGACAUCCACGGAAGUUUUCAGAGAUGAGAAUGUGCCUUCGGGAACCGUGAGACAGGUGCUGCAUGGCUGUCGUCAGCUCGUGUUGUGAAAUGUUGGGUUAAGUCCCGCAACGAGCGCAACCCUUAUCCUUUGUUGCCAGCGGUCCGGCCGGGAACUCAAAGGAGACUGCCAGUGAUAAACUGGAGGAAGGUGGGGAUGACGUCAAGUCAUCAUGGCCCUUACGACCAGGGCUACACACGUGCUACAAUGGCGCAUACAAAGAGAAGCGACCUCGCGAGAGCAAGCGGACCUCAUAAAGUGCGUCGUAGUCCGGAUUGGAGUCUGCAACUCGACUCCAUGAAGUCGGAAUCGCUAGUAAUCGUGGAUCAGAAUGCCACGGUGAAUACGUUCCCGGGCCUUGUACACACCGCCCGUCACACCAUGGGAGUGGGUUGCAAAAGAAGUAGGUAGCUUAACCUUCGGGAGGGCGCUUACCACUUUGUGAUUCAUGACUGGGGUGAAGUCGUAACAAGGUAACCGUAGGGGUACCUGCGGUUG
rnacentral:rRNA from 1 species